rnacentral:rRNA from 1 species
GACGUAGGGCGCGAGCGUUGUCCGGAUUUAUUGGGCGUAAAGAGCUCGUAGGCGGCUUGUCGCGUCGACUGUGAAAUCCCGCGGCUCAACUGCGGGUCUGCAGUCGAUACGGGCAGGCUAGAGUUCGGUAGGGGAGACUGGAAUUCCUGGUGUAGCGGUGAAAUGCGCAGAUAUCAGGAGGAACACCGGUGGCGAAGGCGGUGCUCGUGGGCCGGAACUGACGCUGAUGAGCGAAAGCGUGGGGAGCAAACAGG